UCCCAUAAUUAUGUGCAUAUUAUGAUUAACAUAAUCACUAGGGAUACGCAAUCCAUUUUUUAAAUGGUUCAAAAGUCAUUACAAAAUUGGGGGUGCUGGCAUUUCAUUUCUAAAGUGUUUCUAAAGUGAGAAAUUCAUUACUAUAAUGGGAGUAACAAAAAUUUGUUCCUAGUUUGUUACAGUAAUUGUGAUUUACAAUAUUUGGGGAACUUCAAGGGCUCCUUUCUCCCUCAUUUUAAAACAAUUGGUGUGAAACUUGCUACAAUGGUAGAACACAUUUACCACUGUUAGCCCACCAAAUUUCAGAAUGUUUCACUUAUCCACAGAUUUUUGGGGAAUUUUCAAUUUUUUAUAAACAACAUUUUCUUCCCAGUCCAGCACAGAGAUUUACUUACUAGAAGUAUCCAUCAGUCUUCCUCUUUGCAGAUUCAACCAUUAUCUCUCUCCGCUAUCCUGAUUGGUGUUUUCUGAUUCUGAUGCAUUCUGGGAAAUGUAGUUUAGGGCAGGGCCUUCUUAAUUAUCUGGCAUAGAGCUCCUCCUUUCCCAAACUUAAUUCCCCAGAGUUCUGUGCUGUUCCCAGCAUACAUUGCUCCCUUUUUUCCUGCUCCUAAUGCUGAGACUCCAUUAAUUUAGAGAAAAGGCAAGGCACUGAGGCAGCCUUUGUUGAAUUAUGGUUGCAUGUGUAUGAAAUGUAAAUCAAGUGUUUCUGCUGUUAGGCAAGAGUGUGUGUUUCAGUAAUGAAACAGUUAACAGCAGGCUAGUUUUGACUGACAGCCUGCUAUGACCUAUCAGGCAUGAUUUCCGGCAUUUGGAGGUUGGAACUUCCUUCGAACUGGAGAAUGUGUUUCUUAUCUCUGUGUGAGUUGAGCUGGGGCAAGAGGCUGAAGAGAAAUGCCAGCUCAGAACGAUGGCUUUUGCUAUGCUUUGUAAAUAUGUUUUUAGAUAUUGAAAUGAAUGUUUGGACUUCAGGCUACGCAUGUGUUUGAGUCUGACAUUGAACAGGAAUUGGUGAGGCAGCCAAUUCACCAAUUCAUCAGGGUCCUGGAGAAGAUGAUUGAUGGAGUUUGAAGAAACCCACACGACACGCACCCUGACUCUUCCACGCUUACAGCCUUUUUGGCUUUGCUUUGCUUCCUUGCACUUAAAAGGAAACUGACUUUGGGAGCCUUUUGAGAAUUACAAAACUAAAAUGAAAAGGCUAAACAUACCCAGUUUUUUAAGGCGCACCUCAUAGGACAUGGUCUCUAGACCUUUGACAUUGGUUUCCCUCCUCUGGACAUCUUGCAGCCUGAUCUUCCACUAUUUGUAUUAUUUUCAUUUCUUGGACACACAGGCAUCCAUAUGGUUUCUGAAGAUUUGAACAGGAAUGGACCUCCUUGAAUUACAGUCUCCUUCUCUUUUUCCUCUUCCUCCUCUUCUCUUUCCACUUUUCUUUGCUUUCCCAUUUCUUUGAGCAGCAAUUAGCACAUUCAACUAUUAGUCUUAGAAUGCUCAGCACUAACUGUGAAUUAUUUAAUCCCAUUCUUAUAAGAGCCCAAAGAUGGGGUGGAAUUAACACAGCCUUUGAAUCUCUAGCUAGUUUUACCUCAAUUACUGAUACACAUCUCCAACAUUCAAGUUUGUUAGUUCAUGACAGCUCUUUGUAUGUUGUUUAAAUCUGGCUUCAAAAAACAUUGAUAAAUAUUCUUCCCAGUACCUACCACAGCAUGCCAGUCAGAAGACAUUACUUUACUUUCAGCCUAAAAAUUAAAUCCCAUUCAUUUCACCUUUACAGUUAAAAGUUUCUAUAACCUUAGUGAACUAGAGGGAUGAAAAGUGUGUCCAUUUUACUGUUCUUAGCAGUUUAAUACAUAAAUAUCUGAGUUAAUGCAAAAACAUAUCUAUUUUUUUCUGCACAGUAUAUGUGCCACUCACAUCUUUGUAUUUGAACUCUCUGGAACUAUUUUGCAUAAUUUCUUUUUUAACUUAAAGUAUUGGCAAACAUAGUUGGACACUGGAAAUGACAUCUAGAUAUAUUUAUUUACUAAUUUAUUUUACUUCUGUAUGUGCUACCUUGUAUCCAAUAAAGAAUGUGCAUUUA